UGGGGAAUUUUGCACAAUGGGGGAAACCCUGAUGCAGCGACGCCGCGUGAUUUAGAAGGCCUUCGGGUUGUAAAAAUCUUUUCUAUGGGAAGAAAAUGACAGUACCAUAGGAAUAAGGACCGGCUAAUUACGUGCCAGCAGCCGCGGUAAUACGUAAGGUCCGAGCGUUGUCCGGAAUCAUUGGGCGUAAAGGGUACGUAGGCGGGUAAGCAAGUUAGAAGUGAAAUCCUAUAGCUCAACUAUAGUAAGCUUUUAAAACUGCUUAUCUUGAGGUAUGGAAGGGAAAGUGGAAUUCCUAGUGUAGCGGUGAAAUGCGCAGAUAUUAGGAGGAAUACCGGUGGCGAAGGCGACUUUCUGGCCAUAACCUGACGCUGAGGUACGAAAGCGUGGGUAGCAAACAGG
rnacentral:rRNA from 1 species